ACGCUGGCGGCGUGCCUAAUACAUGCAAGUCGAGCGGACCGGAUCGGAGCUUGCUCUGGUUUGGUCAGCGGCGGACGGGUGAGUAACACGUGGGCAACCUGCCCGCAAGACCGGGAUAACUCCGGGAAACCGGAGCUAAUACCGGAUAACACCGAAGACCGCAUGGUCUUUGGUUGAAAGGCGGCCUUUGGCUGUCACUUGCGGAUGGGCCCGCGGCGCAUUAGCUAGUUGGUGAGGUAACGGCUCACCAAGGCGACGAUGCGUAGCCGGCCUGAGAGGGUGACCGGCCACACUGGGACUGAGACACGGCCCAGACUCCUACGGGAGGCAGCAGUAGGGAAUCUUCCGCAAUGGACGAAAGUCUGACGGAGCGACGCCGCGUGAGCGAAGAAGGCCUUCGGGUCGUAAAGCUCUGUUGUGAGGGACGAAGGAGCGCCGUUUGAACAAGGCGGCGCGGUGACGGUACCUCACGAGGAAGCCCCGGCUAACUACGUGUCAGCAGCCGCGGUAAUACGUAGGGGGCGAGCGUUGUCCGGAAUUAUUGGGCGUAAAGCGCGCGCAGGCGGUUCCUUAAGUCUGAUGUGAAAGCCCACGGCUCAACCGUGGAGGGUCAUUGGAAACUGGGGGACUUGAGUGCAGGAGAGGAGAGCGGAAUUCCACGUGUAGCGGUGAAAUGCGUAGAGAUGUGGAGGAACACCAGUGGCGAAGGCGGCUCUCUGGCCUGCAACUGACGCUGAGGCGCGAAAGCGUGGGGAGC
rnacentral:rRNA from 1 species